rnacentral:rRNA from 1 species
GAUGAACGCUGGCGGCGUGCUUAACACAUGCAAGUCGAACGAAGCACUUAAGACAGAUUCCUUCGGGAUGAAGAUUUUUGUGACUGAGUGGCGGACGGGUGAGUAACGCGUGGGUAACCUGCCUUAUACAGGGGGAUAGCAGUUGGAAACGACUGGUAAUACCGCAUAAGCGCACAGCUUCGCAUGAAGCAGUGUGAAAAACUCCGGUGGUACAAGAUGGACCCGCGUCUGAUUAGCUGGUUGGUGAGGUAACGGCCCACCAAGGCGACGAUCAGUAGCCGGCCUGAGAGGGUGAACGGCCACAUUGGGACUGAGACACGGCCCAAACUCCUACGGGAGGCAGCAGUGGGGAAUAUUGCACAAUGGGGGAAACCCUGAUGCAGCAACGCCGCGUGAGUGAAGAAGUAUUUCGGUAUGUAAAGCUCUAUCAGCAGGAAAGAAAUGACGGUACCUGACUAAGAAGCCCCGGCUAACUACGUG